GAUGAAGAACGUAGCGAAAUGCGAUACUUGGUGUGAAUUGCAGAAUCCCGUGAACCAUCGAGUCUUUGAACGCAAGUUGCGCCCGAAGCCAUCAGGUUGAGGGCACGUCUGCCUGGGCGUCACAUAUCGUUGCCCAAUGCCUAUUGCAGUGCAAUAGGAAUUUCUAGGGCGAAUGAUGGCUUCCCGUGAGCGGUGUUGCCUCGCGGUUGGUUGAAAAUCGAGUCCUUGGUAGGGUGUGCCAUGGUAGAUGGUGGUCGAGUUAGAACGAUACCGAUCAUGUGCAUGCUCCCCAAAAUAUGGCCUCUAUGACCCACACGCGUCUUUUGACGCUCAUGACGAGACCUCAGGUCAGGCGGGGCUACCCGCUGAAUUUAAGCAUAUCAAUAAGCGGAGGA
rnacentral:misc_RNA from 1 species